GAUUGAGACAACGUACAAACCUUAUCGAUAAACAAUUGGAGGGCAAGUCUGGUGCCAGCAGCCGCGGUAAUUCCAGCUCCAAUAGCGUAUAUUAACGUUGUUGCAGUUAAAAAGCUCGUAGUUGAAAUGAAGGGUAGUUGUGUAAUGAAUACAUUCGUGUAUUUUGUUAUUCAAGUAUCCUCCUUCUAAAUUCGAUAUAUGAGUAUUAAUUUACUUGUAUAUGGUUUUAGACAUUUACUGUGAGAAAAUUAGAGUGUUCAAAGCAGGCAUUUGCUUGAAUAUAUUAGCAUGGAAUAAUCAUGUAUGAUUUUCAUGAUGUAUUUGAUUGGUUUGGUUGAUGAGAAUAAGAUUAAAAGGGACAGUUGGGGGUAUUCAUAUUCAAUAGUCAGAGGUGAAAUUCUCGGAUUUAUGGAAGAUGAACAAGUGCGAAAGCAUUUACCAAGGAUGUUUUCAUUAAUCAAGAACGAAAGUUAGGGGAUCGAAGAGGAU
rnacentral:rRNA from 1 species